rnacentral:lncRNA from 1 species
AAAAUGAAAGUUAUUAUCGGUGGGAGAAAAAACAAGAAAAAAGCUGGAGAAAAAAUGGAAAGUUGGAUGGCGAGAGAAUCAUGAAUGAGUGUAUUCAAUAUUGAACAGAGGAGCGUGUUUCCAGAAAUCUGCCCUGUCCCUUCUCUCUCUCUCUCUUCUUUCUCUCUCUCUCUUAUUUCUUUUCUAGGAGUGUGUACAAUUACCAUGUGGGCCACACUGGGACUCUCUUUCUUUCUCUCUUUGCAAACGUUUUCUUCUUCGUCUCGUCUGUUUUGAUUCCCUUUUGCUCUGUUUUGUGUGCUUUUAAUUUUUUUUUUUUCUUGUUGUAACAAANNN